rnacentral:lncRNA from 1 species
AUGUCUCACAGUGUUUUUUUAAGCAGUUUAGUUGGACCAACUGUGUCUACUUUUAAUUGUUUUGGUUUUGAGUUAGAAGUGAAACUCUUGUUUGGCUUUCAAAGCAGAAGCAUCGAUAUGGAAGUUGGCGGUAGCUGUGACUGGAUUGGGAGUAACCAUGGGUGUCAUCUUACUGGUGCUGGGGCUUCUCACAUUCAAAAGAAGAAGUGAAACAUGUCCUCAAAGCAGGUAAGGAAUAUUUUCUCAGCAAACCUUAAUAAAUUGUUUUUCUAUCAUCAUUGAGACAACCAGAAGUUGAACUUAUUUACUUCAGACUUUUUCUUUUUAAGCCAGUGAACAGAAUCACUGGAGCAGUAGUGAAUCACAUGCCUUGCUUGAGGGCAGGACGCCUAAUAAAUAUGUCUCAUAAUAUUUUUUUCUAAUUCUCUACAACAGACACACUUUUUUCUUGUGUAAUGUAAUGCAUACAGCUUUUUUUUUAAAUUAUUUCAAACUUUUUCUUUAUUGAUGUAUAGGACAAAGGCAACAUCACCAGGUAUUGUAUACAUUUAUCUGUCAGGCAGCAUUACAAACUAUCAAUCCAUGUAUUAUAUUUUUUAGUGAGUUUUUCUUUUGUUACAGGUGAUUUUUUAUCAAUGACUAAAAUGAACCAGGGAAGAAUGGUAAUCGAAAUGAAAAUGUUUCUGUCAAAUGAAACAUACACUAAAUUAAAACAAUCAAUUUAAAUACCCAGGAUAUAAAGUUGAUUUUUUCCCCUGUUGUGUUAAGUUACCUGCAGGUAAUGAUGGAGGCUCCAGUGUGAUCACUUCAGUACCUGACGACAACUAUCUGACUAGUAAGCUGUGUUUUUUCUAGCAUCUACCUGAAUGUAGUGUAGUACAAGAUGGAGGGCAAUUUGAUGGUGAAAUUGUUGUACAAGUAGCACAAGAACGUGAUGACUGUUUUAACAGUAAUAUUUUAAUUUGCUCAAACCUUUGUUCCAUAUCUAUAGCAUAUGUAGUUAUCACCGCUGACUAACUUUCAAUAAUAUAGUUGAUUUUUUCCAGUGUAUCACAAGGGAGCUUUGGCUUUGAUAACAUUUUACUACCUUGUAAUAAAGACAUUUACUUGACCACUAAAGAGCCUUUAAAAUGUUCACAUUUUUAAAAGCACUAUGACAUAUACAGUUACAAGAAAAAAUUUGUGAACC